UUAACAAUGCCUUUCCUGAUCCAAAUUUCCAAUAUUUUUCUGCGACUUGUCAAUGAAUUUUAUUUAUUUAUUUUCUUUGCGUGUUGAAGUCAAAAAAUGCGCAAUAUUACUUUUAGAUGAUUUUUUUUAUUAGGGUUCCUGGGAUUAUUUUAUUUCAUUGACCGUUUACUUCAAUUGGCUUUAUUUAUUUUUAUUUUUAUUUUUUAGUAUUGUUUUUGACUUUGGGAUUUUAAGGUUUUAAUGGAGGAAUUGUGUCUUUGUCUACAUAUCCAAUUUGUGCAAUUCAGAAUUGAAGAUGAGCAUGGCCAUGGCGAUCCGAUGGUCUCCCCUUCCUUACAGAACACACAACCGCCUCCAAAAUUCUUCUCUCCUAACCCCACCAAGUAUAUUAUUAUAAGAGAAACAAAAAAUAUUUAGUGUUGCAUGUUUCUGUUGACUCUUGAGGGAGAGAGAAACAGAAAAAAAACAGGUUUCUUUUUUCUUUUCUUUUCUUUUUUUUUUGGGUGGGGGGUUCAGACUUCAAAGUUUUCAUUCAAACAUGGCUUCAGGAUCUCUGUGUUCCACCGAGGCUCUGCUUCUGUUGUGAAGGAUCUUAAGUAUCUUGACUCUCAUGAGUGGAUUAACGUUGAGGGGAAUUCUGAUACUAUUGGCAUAACCAACCAUGCUUAGGAUUAUUUAGGUGAUCUUGUCUGUUGAAUUACUAGAAAUGGGGGCUCCUGUAUCACAGGGCAACAGCUUUCGUAUGGUUGAAAGUGUCAAUGCUACUAGUGAUAUUUAUUGUCCCAUUUUUUGGAAAGUGGUUGAAGUAAACUAAGAGCUCGAUGACUCCCUGGGUCUGGGUUUUAUUGGAGGAAUUGCGAUUGCCAUCAUUUGGAGUGGAUCUUAGCAAGCCUCUGUACGUUUGUGUCUCUGUGUACAAGGGCAUUUCCUCUUAUAUCAUCUAUUCCAUCAAAUUGAGUGAUAUACUACCAUCCUGCGAUGCACCAACAUCAACAUUAACCCAAUGCCAUAUCAACUAGAAAAGUUGAGAUUUGGAUUUGGAUCUCUCAUAUAUGUAUUAGUUAGUUAUAAUGGUUGAUCUAUGAUUCUUUGAUCAGAAUAUUUCGUAUUUGGAAAUUGGGUUGGUUUGUUUUUGUCAUUGGUAUCAUACUUACCAUGUUUUUUUUUUCAAUUACUGCUGAGGUCAAUGGGUUCUUGAAUUUGGGCAUUCAUAAAUCAAUAUACUCUGUGUAUGUGAAAGCUAUACUUUUUAUAGUGUUGUCAGUUUCUUGUUGUGCUGGAAUUGUGAUUAAUCUUAGGUCGAUUAUUCCUAUAAUUUUUUUUUCUUCUUUUUAAUAAAAAAUGAAACCUAAGCCAUUGUCUAUCACAUAUAAUUUGUUGAAAAUUCAAACCCAAGUGUGAUUUUUUGGAGGUAGUUGCUGUCAGUAUGGACAAUGAUCUGUUGCUAUAGUGGUGGAAAGUGUGGUGCAUAUUUUUUUAAUUAAAUCAUGUGAAAUAUGGGGGACAAGCUCAUUGCCUCAUUUAUAGACACUUUGUUUGUUUGGUCUCAUGCUUAGGGAUUCACAUCUAGUGACUCCAUUCCCAUGUUUUUAGAGUCUCUUUCUUGUUGUACAUAGCUUCUGUUUUUUUGGCAUAAUUAUUUUGGCUACUUUAUGCUUUCUUUUUUUAAAUAAAGUAUUCUUGUCUAUCAAAAAAAUAAUUGUUGAGAUGAGAUCUUUUUUGGUUUAUUAGAAAAUUGAUCUGCUUUCUCCGUGUUACAUGUGGUUGUGAAGGAUCUUAAGUACCGUGACUCUCAUGAGUGGGUGAAAGUUGAGGGGAAUUCUGCAACUGUUGGUAUAACCGACCGUGCUUAGGAUCAUUUAGGUGAUGUUGUCUACAUUGAAUUACCGGAAGUGGGAGCUCCAGUAUCACAGGGCGACGGCUUUGGUGUGGUUGAAAGUGUCAAGGCUACUAAUGAUAUUAAUUCUCCCAUUUCAGGGAAAGUGGUUGAAGUAAACGAAGAGCUCAAUGACUCCCCUGGUCUGCCCAUUUGACAAAGGAUGGAUAAUUAAGGUUGAGGUGAGUGAUAGUGGUGAAUUGAAGAGCUUGAUGGAUGCAGAUAAGUACACCAAGUUCUGUGAAGAAGAUGAUAUUCACUGAGUGACUAUGGCCUUGAAGAACUUUGGACAAUUUUCAUGUAGGGGUUGUUCAUGGAUAAUCACGAUAAAUUACACAAUCCUUGAAGUGUGUGGUGCACAUAUCUUGCUUUCUAUUUUCAUCCAAACAUGUGCUUCCACUGUUCUUCUUUUGUUACCUAAGAGCUAUAAAUUUAGUGGAUAUCCUAAGCAAAUAAUCUUUCUGGGUUUUAGUUUCAUCUAUUGGUGCUGUUUAGGCAGGUUUGUGGUUUGAGAACCAUUUUCAUAAUAUUUGUUUGAGUCGAAUACUUAUUCAA